rnacentral:rRNA from 1 species
AUACGGGAGGCAGCAGUGGGGAAUAUUGCGCAAUGGGCGAAAGCCUGACGCAGCGACGCCGCGUGGGUGAUGAAGGCCUUCGGGUCGUAAAGCCCUGUCGGGAGGGACGAAACCUCGGCGACCUAAUACGUCGUCGACCUGACGGUACCUCCAAAGGAAGCACCGGCUAACUCCGUGCCAGCAGCCGCGGUAAUACGGAGGGUGCAAGCGUUGUUCGGAAUCACUGGGCGUAAAGCGCGUGUAGGCGGCCUUCUAAGUCUGAUGUGAAAGCCCGGGGCUUACCUCCGGAAGUGCAUUGGAAACUGGAAGGCUAGAGUACCGGAGAGGAAGGUGGAAUUCCUGGUGUAGCGGUGAAAUGCGUAGAUAUCAGGAGGAACACCGGUGGCGAAGGCGGCCUUCUGGACGGCUACUGACGCUGAGACGCGAAAGCGUGGGGAGCAAACAGGAUUAGAUACCCUUGUAC